rnacentral:lncRNA from 1 species
CAAGGACAAGCUUUUUACUAAAGAUAUUGAGCCACGACCAAGUGCCACAUUCUACCCAAAUGAUGAGAGCAAGGACAGGUUUUUUACUAAAGAUAUUGAGCCACGACCAAGUCUCACAUUCUACCCAAAUGAUGAUACCAAGAACAAGCUUUUUACUAAAGAUAUUGAGCCACGACCAAGUGCCACAUUCUACCCAAAUGAUGAGAGCAAGGACAAGUUUUUUAUUAAAGAUAUUGAGCCACGACCAAGUGCCACAUUCUACCCAAAUGAUGGAAGCAAGGACAAGCUUUUUACUAAAGAUAUUGAGCCACGACCAAGUCUCACAUUCUACCCAAAUGAUGAUACCAAGAACAAGCUUUUUACUAAAGAUAUUGAGCCACGACCAAGUGCCACAUUCUACCCAAAUGAUGAGAGCAAGGACAGGUUUUUUACUAAAGAUAUUGAGCCACGACCAAGUCUCACAUUCUACCCAAAUGAUGAUACCAAGAACAAGCUUUUUACUAAAGAUAUUGAGCCACGACCAAGUGCCACAUUCUACCCAAAUGAUGAGAGCAAGGACAAGUUUUUUAUUAAAGAUAUUGAGCCACGACCAAGUGCCACAUUCUACCCAAAUGAUGAUACCAAGAACAAGCUUUUUACUAAAGAUAUUGAGCCACGACCAAGUGCCACAUUCUACCCAAAUGAUGAGAGCAAGGACAGGUUUUUUACUAAAGAUAUUGAGCCACGACCAAGUGCCACAUUCUAUCCAAAUGAUGAUACUAAGAACAAGCUUUUUACUAAAGAUAUUGAGCCACGACCAAGUGCCACAUUCUACCCAAAUGAUGAUGCAAACAAAAAGUUUUUUACUAAAGAUAUUGAGCCGCGACCAAGUGUCACAUUCUACCCAAAUAAUGAUAGCAAGAACAAG